AUCGCUUCUCGGCCUUUUGGCUAAGAUCAUGUGUAGUUCUGUUCUUGUCAGUUUUAAUAUCUGAUAUGUCUCUUAUUUAGGGACUCAAUAUUAAUCUGAUUUUUGCAGGCAGGAGUUGUGCUAGGAGCUUGCUCCGCCAACUUCGCGCAUCGUCCUAGUAUUGCAGUGUUUCUGGGAAUGGUGCACUCCAC